rnacentral:misc_RNA from 1 species
UGAAUACAUGGAAGAGUUCUUUGGCUGCUGUGAAUCUAUAUUGGCAGAAGAUGGCAUUUUUGUUCUACAGUUCUCAUCGGUUGCAGAACAAGAUUAUGAUGAGGCCAGGCGAACUUCAGGUUUUGUCACAGAACAUAUUUUCCCAGGAGGAUGCUUGCCCUCCUUAACAAGGAUAACAUCUGCCAUGGGUGCUGCAUCGAAACUACGUGUGGAGAGCGUGGAAAAUAUAGGAAGGCAUCUCUACAGGACGAUGAAAUGCUGGAGGAAAAGUUUCCUGGAGAACCGGAGGUGAAAAUGAAUAUAGACCUUCAUUGCCGCAACUAUGCAAUAUAUACUUGCCUUGAUUCUGAUGUUAGGUUACCAAUUCUUGUUUUUAGCAAAAUUCUUGGUAUGGGAUUCGACGAAAAGUUCAUUAGAAAAUGGGAAUAUUAUUUUGACUAUUGUGCGGCUGGUUUUAAGUCCGAGACGCUUGGAAAUUAUCAGGUAAUUAAGGAUCACUAGACUCUAUCCCUCACACUGAUAAUAAUUGCGGAAAACUGUGGCUUGCAGAUAGACUUGGGACGUUCAUGUUCCCGUAUCUGACAAGAAAGCGAAAAUGUUGUCUUCGGCUUACAAUUGGGUUUAGCAGCGAACUGAAUUGUCUGAUAACUAUGCAGGUUGUCUUUUCAAGGCCUGAUAGCUUUGUGGCGUGAGGCGAUGGUUAAUUUUCAAGAAAUGUCACACCAAGAAAGCUGAAAUUGUUACUUUUGUCUUGUCAUUAAUCUGUUCUGAAACUUUCUUGAUUUCGCCACUGUUACAUCACAACCAGACAGAAUUUUCUACGUGAAGUAAGUUUACUUUGAUCAAUACGUGAAGUUUCGAUAAGUGUAGAGUGCUUGGGAAUCUAUGUGGGACGUUUAAUUAAGAGUGUUGAUGUACGUAUGGUGAGGGAGGGCUACAUAUACCCAUCUAAGGUAUUGUGUUAUGUAGAGUGAAG